GCCAGCAGCCAUAUCACCCUGCAGUUCUCAACUAGCUACCCACUGUAACUAAGCAGGGUUGAACCUGGCCAGUACCUGGAUGGGAGACCUCCUAGGAAGCUAGGGUUGCUGCUGGAA
rnacentral:rRNA from 1 species